GAUGAAGAACGUAGUGAAAUGCGAUACUUGGUGUGAAUUGCAGAAUCCCGUGAACCAUCGAGUCUUUGAACGCAAGUUGCGCCCGAAGCCACUAGGCCGAGGGCACGCCUGCCUGGGCGUCACACGUCGUUGCCCCCCCAUCUACUCCUUCGGGAUUGCGGGGGGGCGGAUGAUGGCCUCCCGUGCGCCUAGCCGCGCGGUUGGCAUAAAUACCAAGUCCUCGGCGACGCACGCCACGACAAUCGGUGGUUGCGAAACCUCGGUUGCCCGUCGUGUGCGUUCGUCGCGCAUCGAGGGCUCGAAAAAAUGCUCGGCUUCGGCUCGGCUUUCAACGCGACCCCAGGUCAGGCGGGGUUACCCGCUGAAUUUAAGCAUAUCAAUAAGCGGAGGA
rnacentral:misc_RNA from 1 species